GAUGAACGCUGGCGGCGUGCUUAACACAUGCAAGUCGAACGGUGAAGGCGGAGCUUGCUCUGCUGGAUCAGUGGCGAACGGGUGAGUAACACGUGAGCAAUCUGCCCCUGACUCUGGGAUAAGCGCUGGAAACGGCGUCUAAUACUGGAUACGAGCUGCGAAGGCAUCUUCAGCAGCUGGAAAGAAUUUCGGUCAGGGAUGAGCUCGCGGCCUAUCAGCUUGUUGGUGAGGUAAUGGCUCACCAAGGCGUCGACGGGUAGCCGGCCUGAGAGGGUGACCGGCCACACUGGGACUGAGACACGGCCCAGACUCCUACGGGAGGCAGCAGUGGGGAAUAUUGCAUAAUGGGCGAAAGCCUGAUGCAGCAACGCCGCGUGAGGGACGACGGCCUUCGGGUUGUAAACCUCUUUUAGCAGGGAAGAAGCGAAAGUGACGGUACCUGCAGAAAAAGCGCCGGCUAACUACGUG
rnacentral:rRNA from 1 species